GACGUAGGGGGCAAGCGUUGUCCGGAAUCAUUGGGCGUAAAGCGCUCGUAGGCGGACUUUUAAGUCGGCGAAGAAAGACCUGGGCUCAACUCAGGGAACGGCGUCGAUACUAUUGGUCUUGAGGUAAUUAGAGGAUGAUGGAAUUCCCGGUGUAGCGGUGAAAUGCGUAGAGAUCAUGAGGAAGACCAGUGGCGAAGGCGGGUCUCUGGACAGUUCCUGACACUGAGACACGAAGGCCAGGGGAGCAAACGGG
rnacentral:rRNA from 1 species